AAUGAUCAUAGGACAUCCCAGAGUUCAACUGUCAACUCUGAUCAGGUUGUCCACAUUGUAUUUUAAAAUAUCAAAUCCAUCUGAUGGAUUACCCUGGCCAAGGUUUUGCUAAAUUGAAAUACAGCGACUCAUUCUUCUCCAACUCUUGGAGUGGUCAAUCCCAUCUCAAUCAUACUCUGACUUCGUAAGUACUUAACUGUGCCCAGAAGCCUUCCAUCCCUGAAUUAAAAAUUCAGUUAGUCCAGUACC
rnacentral:lncRNA from 1 species